rnacentral:rRNA from 1 species
AGAGUUUGAUCCUGGCUCAGAUUGAACGCUGGCGGCAUGCCUUACACAUGCAAGUCGAACGGCAGCACGGGGGCAACCCUGGUGGCGAGUGGCGAACGGGUGAGUAAUACAUCGGAACGUGCCCUGAAGUGGGGGAUAACGUAGCGAAAGUUACGCUAAUACCGCAUAUUCUGUGAGCAGGAAAGCAGGGGAUCGCAAGACCUUGCGCUUUAGGAGCGGCCGAUGUCGGAUUAGCUAGUUGGCGGGGUAAAAGCCCACCAAGGCGACGAUCCGUAGCGGGUCUGAGAGGAUGAUCCGCCACACUGGGACUGAGACACGGCCCAGACUCCUACGGGAGGCAGCAGUGGGGAAUUUUGGACAAUGGGCGCAAGCCUGAUCCAGCCAUGCCGCGUGAGUGAAGAAGGCCUUCGGGUUGUAAAGCUCUUUCGGCGGGGAAGAAAUCGCACUUUCUAAUACAGAGUGUGGAUGACGGUACCCGAAUAAGAAGCACCGGCUAACUACGUGCCAGCCGCCGCGGUAAUUC